CAAGGUGUCAGUGAGGCGUGGCUUCCUGUGUAUGAGAAGAGUAACUGUUUCUUACUGUGCGGAGGUGAUUAUUGUGCAGAGACAAGCAGCAGAAACAAGAAGAAUUAGCAAAGACAGAAAGCUUUGGAUCAGAGAAUCUGCAGAAAGAAAGAAAAGAGGGAGGGGAGGAUUCUGAGAGAGCUCGGUAUUAAUUAUUUGGAAGAAGGAAACUACACUAAAGCCAUAGAGUUGAUCAGUGAACCCAUCAGAUUAGAUCCCAAGGAUUACAGAUAUUUUGGGAAAAGUUCAUACUGCUAUGAGCUGUUAACACUUUAUCCUAAGAUGCUCAUGGACGCUGAAGUUUCCAUUCCAUCCAAUUAUCCUCUGAUUACCCUAAAGGCUAUUUCAGAAAAGGAAGAGCUUUGGCGAGGCUGCAGUGUAAGAUCCCUCUCUCUAUCAAUUCUGCUUUCACGGUAGUACAAGUCACUAAGGGAUUCAAAAAAGACUUGGGCUUCAUUUGAUUGUUGUAUGGUUCUCCCAAGAAAAUAGAGAGAAAAACAAUGGUCCUAACAGCUAUAUCAGUAUCUUUAUUAUCAGAGCCCUAAAUGUCUACAAUGGAUGACUUUGUCCCUGCACACUCUUAAACAAAAGGAAAAUAAAAACACCCUUGCAAAGAA